AUGAAGCUCUGUUGGCAAAAAUCCAUCCAUGGUUCUUAAAGAAACAUGGGAAGAAGUGUGAGAGGGUCCUUAACUCCUCACACUCUCCCACUUCCAACAGUUUGCUUGUGCUUAGCUAUUGGCUUCUCUAAUCACCAAGGGAUAUGCUGAAACAUUCUCAUUCUCUCUGAGUAGCAGAAGCAGAUAAGCAUUCUCUAAAGGAGGAGAGGCUUUGGCUACAGCUUGGCAAACCGGCAAGUCACAAAAAGGCAAUGGACUCCAUUAGGGGUUCU
rnacentral:sRNA from 11 species